rnacentral:rRNA from 1 species
UACGGGGGGGGCAAGCGUUGUUCGGAAUUACUGGGCGUAAGGGGCCAGUAGGCGGCCAACUAAGUCGGAUGUGAAAUCCCCAGGCUUAACCUGGGAACUGCAUCCGAUACUGGAUGGCUUGAAUUCGGGAGAGGGAUGCAGAAUUCCAGGUGUAGCGGUGAAAUGCGUAGAUAUCUGGAGGAAUACCGGUGGCGAAGGCGGCAUCCUGGACCGACAUUGACGCUGAACGGCGAAAGCUAGGGGAGCAAACGGG